rnacentral:rRNA from 1 species
CAACCUCCCACCCGUGUUUACUGUACCUUAGUUGCUUCGGCGGGCCCGCCAUUCAUGGCCGCCGGGGGCUCUCAGCCCCGGGCCCGCGCCCGCCGGAGACACCACGAACUCUGUCUGAUCUAGUGAAGUCUGAGUUGAUUGUAUCGCAAUCAGUUAAAACUUUCAACAAUGGAUCUCUUGGUUCCGGCAUCGAUGAAGAACGCAGCGAAAUGCGAUAACUAGUGUGAAUUGCAGAAUUCCGUGAAUCAUCGAGUCUUUGAACGCACAUUGCGCCCCCUGGUAUUCCGGGGGGCAUGCCUGUCCGAGCGUCAUUGCUGCCCAUCAAGCACGGCUUGUGUGUUGGGUCGUCGUCCCCUCUCCGGGGGGGACGGGCCCCAAAGGCAGCGGCGGCACCGCGUCCGAUCCUCGAGCGUAUGGGGCUUUGUCACCCGCUCUGUAGGCCCGGCCGGCGCUUGCCGAACGCAAAUCAAUCUUUUCCCAGGUUGACCUCGGAUCAGGUAGGGAUACCCGCUGAACUUAAGCAUAUCAAUACGGGAGGAAC